GCAAUCUACAUGACGAGUCUGGAGAAUGAAAGGAAAAUCUUCACUGUCUUUGUGUACUCUGAUGAUUGUCACAUGCUCCUUUUUUUGUUGUUGUGGCCUGAGUGAGUCAACACUUCCCCAAAGCAUUGACUAAUCACAUGGCUUGGCCGGGUCUGAGCGGUGAAGCCACGCAAUGUAUACUGCAGGAUCCUCGAGCACUAUGUGUGUGUGCUUGCAGAAAGUGAACGGGGCCCCCAAGCCCUUCUCCAUCUAAACCAACACCUGGUGAAGCUCCUAGAGCUGACAAUUUGAUGCUCCCAAGUACUGUGGUCUCCACUGGAUCUGCGAAGACAGCAGGCUGUGCAUUUGCUUCCCUCUGGUGGUAGGUCCUGGAGUGAGCCUGGGGACUCUGUGUCUUCCUCUAACACUGGAUGAAUGGGUGCCUUCCAGCUUCACUCCCAGAGGGUUCCCAGACACCUAGCCCAGAAGCACCAUGUGCUGCACUUGCAUGGAUUUGAAGUCCUCACCCCUCAGAUGUUGCUCCUGAGGCCACAUCAGACAAAGAAAGGCAAGUGAUGGUGACACUGCGGGCCCAGAGACUGACAGGCGUUGGGAAGGAAGAGCCCGCCCACGGGACACCUCCCUGGUACUUUAGGUGAUAACCUGCAAUGCAGUCACCCCACCAAAGAGUGGUGGACGGGACUGGGGUUAAAUAAAACUUACAGAAAAGUUGGUUGAAUAUA